UACGUAGGGUGCGAGCGUUCAUCGGAAUUACUGGGCGUAAAGCGUGCGCAGGCGGUUCGUUGUGUCGGCGGUGAAAGCCCCGGGCUUAACCUGGGAAUGGCCGUUGAAACUGGCGAACUGGAGUGUGGCAGAGGGGGGUGGAAUUCCGCGUGUAGCAGUGAAAUGCGCAGAUAUCAGGAGGAACACCGGUGGCGAAGGCGGGUCUCUGGGCCGUAACUGACGCUGAGGAGCGAAAGCGUGGGGAGCGAACAGG
rnacentral:rRNA from 1 species